CUACGGGCUGCAGCAGUGGGGAAUAUUGCGCAAUGGGCGAAAGCCUGACGCAGCAAUACCGCAUGGGUGAGGAAGGUCUUCGGAUUGUAAAACCCUGUCAAUGUAGAAAAACAGCACAUCAUCUAAUAGGUGUUGUGUUUGAUGGUAUACACAGAGGAAGCACCGGCUAACUUCGUGCCAGCAGCCGCGGUAAUACGAAGGGUGCAAGCGUUGUUCGGAUUUAUUGGGCGUAAAGCGCGCGCAGGCGGAUUAAUAAGCCAGAUGUGAAAUCUCGGGGCUCAACCCCGAAACUGCGUCUGGAACUGUUGAUCUAGAAUCUCGGAGAGGAAAGGGGAAUUUCGCAUGUAGGGGUAAAAUCCGUAGAGAUGCGAAGGAACACCAGAGGCGAAGGCGCCUUUCUGGACGAGUAUUGACGCUGAGGCGCGAAAGCGUGGGUAGCAAACAGGAUUAGAUACCCCGGUAGUC
rnacentral:rRNA from 1 species